UUGGAUAGACACUGGAUCUUGUUUUGGUUCCGUGUUGUUUUGGUUCCGUGUAGAAACAGCACUGUUUCGACUCAUUUGGUUGAUUAUAUCUCUAGAUUUAAUUUAUUUUUUGCCUGCAAUUAGUUUAAGUGAUUUUUAUUUACGCUUUUUUGGUAAUAGGCGACGUUUUAAAUGGACUGGCAGCGUCGCGGGAAGGGAAAAAGAGGAAGAGGAGGAAGUGGAAACAGAGAUGAGAGCAGAGAAGUGCGUCUGUCCAAAUCCCUGACUUUCGCCCUGAGACAUGGUGCUGCUAGAAUGGGGCUUAACAUGGGCUCAGAUGGCUUUGUAUUUGUGGAUGAACUUCUCACUCAUGGACAGUUUCAGUCGUUUUCAGUGGAGGAAAUAGAGAGAGUGGUGGCCACAAACGACAAGCAGCGCUUCAAACUGCAAACCCAUCCUGAGAAUGGACGCCUUCAGAUCCGUGCCAAUCAAGGACAUACUGUACAGGUUGAGAACCUAGAAAUGACACCAGUGGUAUUGGAUGCUCCAGACUGUCCACAGGAAGCUGUUCAUGGGUCCUACAUGAAGAACUGGCCAUCAAUCCGUAGCAGGGGUCUGUCCAGGAUGCUCAGAACACACAUCCACCUGGCGCCUGGGCUACCUGGAGAGGACCAAGUUAUCAGUGGGAUGAGAUAUAAUUGUGAUCUUGCUGUGUACGUCAACGUCCGCAAAGCUCUAGCAGACGGAAUUGAAUUUUACUGGUCAGAAAACAAAGUGUUGCUGACACCAGGUGACGCUGACGGAGUGUUGGCGCCUCGAUAUUUCUCACGUGCGAAAAGACUGUUACCUUCACGUGCCAAAUCCUACUGGAAAAUGAAAUCAGCAUCUCCAUAAAGCUGGUCAGCAGAAGGAAGCAUAAAGUGCUUGAAAAUAUCUUGGUAAACGGGUGCAGUGACUUUGGUUUUCAAAAAAACACAGUGGACCAGCACCCCAAAUCAUCACAGACUGUAGAAACUUAACACUGGAUUUCAAGCAACUUGGGCUAUGAGCUUCUCCACCCUUUCUCCAGACUCGAGGACAUUGGUUUCCAAAUGAAAUACAAAACUUGCUCUCAUCUGAAAAGAGGACGUGGGACCACUGGGGAACAGUCCAGUUCUUCUUGUCUUUAGCCCAGCAUGCGAACUUGAUCUGGAGUAGACAAAGAUGAUUUUCUCCACUUUUUUUUCCCCAUUUUUUUCCACUUGAUCCAUGAUCUUCAGCAAAACCAUAAACAUCUGUAAAUAGUAACUGGCAGCAUGGAAACUUUCUGGAUUAGGAAUCCAGUGCAUCUUAAGCUUCUUACAGAUGGCGGAAGCUUGAGCUGCACGUCACCAUGACUAUCUGAAAAAAGCCAGGCACUAGUUGUGGUCUGGUCAGCUGAAGGAUGCACGAUGUUCAACAAAGAUAAAAUUGUUAUUUUGUGAUAUGUGACAGUUUCCAGACCUAUUUUAAACGUCUGGUGUUGGGAAUGAUAGCCUGUGGUUUUCUGAACUGUCACUCAAAUUGAAUGUAAUGAAUUUCAGGGGAAAUGUUUGAGUGGUCAGAGUGUACAGUGCAGAUGAUUUCUUUACAAAAUCAUUUGUACAAUUGUUCAUUUGUUGUAUUGUAUUAAAAUAAACCUAUCAUGUAGUUACAUAUAA